rnacentral:rRNA from 1 species
UACGUAGGGGGCGAGCGUUGUCCGGAUUUAUUGGGCGUAAAGAGCUCGUAGGCGGCUUGGCAAGUCGGGUGUGAAACCUCCAGGCUCAACCUGGAGACGCCACUCGAUACUGCUAUGGCUAGAGUCCGGUAGGGGACCACGGAAUUCCUGGUGUAGCGGUGAAAUGCGCAGAUAUCAGGAGGAACACCGGUGGCGAAGGCGGUGGUCUGGGCCGGCACUGACGCUGAGGAGCGAAAGCGUGGGUAGCGAACAGG